UGAAACCUUUUAUAUACUUUAGCUUCUGAUUUGUAGAUUCGAUGUGGCCUUUCUAUCAUUUAUUCAGCAUGGUGUUUAGACACAUCCUCUUUAAAUAAAUAAUAAAUGACCCAAAGGAGUGUUUUCUGUACUUUUUCCUUAGACCACAAGAGGGCACUAUAGAACACUUCAUCGUCCAAAAUAUGUUUUAAAGAUGCUGUAAAGCAAAUUCCAUGAUUUGCUUCUCAGUACAUUAUAUACGUGUGAAAUGAGUUGCUGAAAGCAUGUGCAAAGCUCUAAAACUUGGUCGCACUGAAAUGUGGAGUUAGACCGUUGAACAGUUUCUCACCCGUUUUCAGCUCAGGUUUUGUAUAGGCGGGGCAAAACUCAACCUAUCUACGUCAGAUCACAGACGGUUGCAUUCUGUUACUCAGCUGAUACGAUGCAAAGACAAAGUACCGGUAAUUAACACAUAAAACACUCAGAGACUGCAGUUAACACAUUCUUCUGUGGUGUGAUGAACUUAAACAUAAUUUUCAGUUCUGCUUUACAGCAUCUUUAACGGAAGGUAGAAACUAUUUAACACCAGAGAAAACACUGGGUUCUGUUCAAAAUAUGUAUUCAUUUAUUUAUUUUGUUAGCUGCUCCUGGCAUUCUCUAAUCCCUGCUCUCCUCUCUCUGUCCCCCCCACACACAUCCCUUGUGGUGUGGGGGGUUUGAGUUGUCAGCACCUGCCUGGUCGUCGGUCAGCCAACGCUGGACCUGGUCGCGAGUCUCCCGGUCCUGUCCUACAUCUAUAAAGUUGAAUAAUGGAUUUUGGUGUUUUAAAAACCCAUCGACACUGUAUGACUAUGUUUAGCCUGUGUUCUGCUCCUCUCUCCCACCAACCGUCUCUGGAGGAGGGGAUCCCUCUCUGAAUUGCUCCUCCCAAGGUUUCUUCCUUUUUUUUUUCUCCUGUUGAGUUUUUUGGGAGUUUUUCCUUGUCUUCCUUGAGGGUUUAGGUUGGUUGAGGGGCAGUUCUAUGGGCAUAUGUGAAGCCCUCUGUGACAUGCUUGCGUGUAAAAAGGGCUAUACAAAUAAAUUUGAUUUGAUUUGA